UUUUUGGAGAGUUUGGACAAAAGGACUUCAAACUGUUUCUCCGGUAUGACGCGAGGAAGAGUUCGGUGGCCGUAACGAUUCCCCAGCAACGCCUUUGGAGCCCAGAUGGAGGGAAGUAAAGAGAAGAGCAAAAGUCUUUUGCAUAUUGGAGCAGCUAAAGCCACAUGAUGCAAGGAAAUUGAUCAAACCACGGUGUUUAGACAAACAAAUCCAGCUUGUUCCUUUUCACAGAAAAUGUUUCGGUAACAAUGUGUAAAGGAAGACUCACAAUGAAAGCUGGACCGGCUGAAAUCCUUUGACACCUCUUGAUCUCCUGCAGGAAAAUCUCGCAGGCCUCAUGGUCUCCGAAGGAGUCACUUCGAAUCCCCCAACACAGAUCCACCACCUGAACAGGAAGUGACCUCACUGAUCAACGAGCAGGAUUUUUAGGUUGCAUAAUGUAGCUUUUGAACAUAAACAGUGAACAGACCGGUGAAGGUGGAGCUGACGAACACUCGAAUCAUGUUGGAGCCGGUCUCCGUCCUCGGAGUUCCAUCUAUUCGUCCUCUCAGGACGUCCUGCAGGCUGACUUCUCCUCCUCCUCCUCCUCCUCCUCCUCUACCUCCUGCUGCUGGAUGCUCUGCCAUGGUUUUCUUCUUCCUUUCCUUCUUCUCCUCCAGACUUAUCAAGACGUCUGGUCUCCCCCUCCUCUGCUCAGCUGCUCUUCAGCCUGUUUUGUUUCCCUCUGAGAAUUUUCUCCACGACAACCGGUUCUACAGUGGGUGUGACUGUAGUCUGUUCUACUCACAGGUUUCUUAUCAAGAAAUAAGACUGGAACAUUGUUUGAUCAUCACUGCGGAUAUGUAUAGCAUGCAGUGAUAGCUUUGUAUGCAGACCAAAGUAAUGCUACGAUGUAGAAAUGUUCUUUUACAAGUCCUGCAUUGAAAAGGUUUUCACAUACAGUGGCAGUUAUUUUUAAAUCAAUCCAUUUAAUCAGUGCAAUGUGUACAAAAUGAUCUUGUUCAAAUGAAACUUUCCUUGUUAUAUCUUGGUUGCUAUUGAGAGGUGCAGGAAUGGCAUCUUUUUGUAGGCCAACCAUGAAGCCCGAAAGGCCAAUGGGAUUUUUCAAAAAUGUCUUGGUACAAAUGAACAACAUUUUCAUUAUUUCUUUUAAGAAAUAUAUAAAGUAUGAGCUUGAAUGAAGCACGAGCUAUCCAACUAACUGCUUCGUUACCUGUACUACCACUUGUAAUUAGUUACAGUGUAUAAAUAACCUAAAUUAGCUGUAUCUUUAACCAGACUAUUUCACAUCAUUGAAUCAACUGUAUUUCAGUUCAUACUGGUUUUUUUACUAGUUUGUUGACACCUUUUAAAUAUAGUUUUUAGAUUUUAAUAUCUUAAUGAUGUUAAUCAUGUACCUAUACAGCAUAUUUAUUUAUUCGUUGUCAUGUCUACUGUGUGUAUAAACUGCUUUUGGCGGCAAACAAGUUUCCUCUCUGGGGAUAAAUAAAGCUUUUCUAAUUAAAUCUAAAAAUAUUACAGGUCUCUCUUUAAAUCUCACUGAAUUAAAAAAAAACACUCUAAACUUAAUUUAAUAAAUUAAUCCCAUCUGUUAACUAGAUGUGAAGCAAUGCAGGUGAAUUAGUAAAAGAUGAUUAUUUAGAGUGUUAUUAACUAUCUCUUUCCCUGUUUUCUGUGGAUUCAGUAUCUUCAAACGGCGCACAUUGUAUCAGCUCAGUUCACCUCGAUCUGUGUGCUGGGACCGUAGGAGUCCUGGCCCCCAGGGGGCCGCUGCCAGCAGCUGCAGCUCAGUGCUAAUUACGCUGCAGAGAGAGCCAGGGGGUUGAAGCUCUCUGAGGACAUUACAUCAGCCCUGGUCCCCUGCUGAUGCCUCGUACUUCCCAUCCCUCCACGGACCAUCUGAACGUCAUCACCUUCACAUACUGGGAGCAGGAAAUCCUUAUUUGGCUAAAGAGGGUUCCUUCAAAUGUCACACAUAGCAGCAACCCAAACAAUUCUUUGGGGGGAUCGCAUGGCCGACAUCGUCUCUUAAAAAAAUCAGCAUUAGGAAAAACACUGUCCAUCAAAUCUGAUGGUGUCCAGGCACCAAACAUCAUGAUGAAACAGUGACUCCACCUCUUCUGGUCCCACAGGAGUGCUGUCCUCAGGUCAGCUGUCGACUGCGACGUGAUGCUGAAUGAGGGAUGGAGCCGGGUCUCUGUGUGGGCUCCACAGUCAGCGACCUGCAGCUGCUUUCAUCCAUCUUAUUCACCCACCAGCAGCAGGCUGGGUGUUGGAGUACCCCUAGGGCCCAGCUGGGUUAGCUUAUCCUGUAUCUUGGCUCUCCCCCCCGGGGAAGUUUGGUGAUCAAAUCAGGUCCUGUACCUGUUUGAGCGUUGAAGUCACCCCCACAGAGGUGUUUUGGCCCUGGGCCUAGGAGUGACAUGUCUGGAUGGAGAUCUGUUGACCUCUCCUUGAUGGCAUGAGGCCUAUAAGGAGGGCUGUAUAUUGCACACGGGUAUAAAUCAACC